CGCCCCAGUGCCGCCGGCGGAGCCAGCGCGGAUCGGCCCAGCAUGGAGGGGACGCGGCGAGCCCUGCUCCACCUCGCCGCCGCCUGCUGCCUGCUCUGCGCCCUGCCAGCAGAGGGUCAGAAGACAGCAGAGGCCUUGGUGUCACCAUCACCUCUUCCUAGCACAGCGCUAACCUCGCAUCAGCCAAGGGAAGCCUCUGACUUCAGUCUGGUCACUACUGCCAUUCCUCAGACAAGCCUGGAGAAAAACCUGACUGCUGCAACACUCAGUGCCACUGGGGCUCAUGCUACACAGGUGGAUGAUGCCUUCAUCCCUACCACCCCCAUGGCAAGCUCCAAGGCAGAGAGACUGCAGGCUUCUACCACUGCCAGUCCUGGGGACAUCACAGUUACACAUCCUGAGCAUGACAACAUGAGCUUGUCAGUCAACAGCAGCACUGAAAUCCCCUCCCCUGCCUUGACUGCCAGCACUCUGGAAGAAAACCAGCCCAGCCAUGACGCCACAGAGCCUUUCAGCACAACUGAUGAAACGGAUGAUGCCAGCAGUGCAACCCCCACGCCUCCUCUGAACACUCUGCCCGCAACAACUAACAGCUCUCAGUCGGGGCUUUUGGAUGGGCAGACCCUGAGGCCCACAGCAGCAAGGUCUGAAACAAAGCCAGCAACAAAAACCCCUGGGGGUGCCACAGAGGAGAGCACUGUGGAGCCCAGAACUUCCUCUGCUCCCAUCUCCAUUGUACGAAGCACAGCCUUUGCUACUGCCUCCAGUACUGUGACAGUGACACCCCUUGUGACCAGCUCCACGUCUGCCAGCACAGCUGCCAUCCCCACCAGCACGCCUACACUGGCCCAGUCAUUGGAGCCCAGGCAUGAGAAGACUUCUGUGUUGGAUGUUGGUGAUGAUAACAAUUCAGGUAAAUGCUCUGCUUUUAAGGGGCUGCCCAGGGAGGUGGUGGAGUCACUGUCCCUGGAGGUGUUUAAAGAAAAACUGGAUGUGGCACUCAAUACCAUGGUCUGGUUGACAAGGUGGUGUUAGGUCACAGGUUGGACUGAUAAUCACAGAGGUCUUUUUCCAGCCUAAUAGAUUGUGUAAUUGUUUUGUACCUGUUCUCACAAAACAUGGCCAAGGGCUGGAGCUACCUCAAAUUGCCUCUUGGUUGUACUGAACAGAACCAGAAAAGAAAAAGCUUUGCCCUUGAAGGCUCUCCUUUGGCCUCAUUCCCUUGGUCUCCUUGCAGAGCUACCCAACGUGGCUGGUAAAACGAGGGCUGAUCCCUUGGUAAUCACUGUGAUCUCCGUCUUCAUUGUCAUGGUGGGCAUCCUGGGCCUGGUGGGCUUCUUGCGCUACCGCCAGCACAACAACCGCAUGGAGUUCCGGCGCCUGCAGGACCUGCCCAUGGUGAGUCGUGCCCUCAGCCCAGCCCAUGUGGGCUGCCCUGCCACUGCCCGCUUUGCAGUUCUCCUUCAUUAGCAAUGCUUUGGGUAUUUGCAGCAACACCAAUGCUGAUCACACACUCCUGUUCCUCCUUAGGUCCCUCUCCUUCCAUCCAAGGUUUGAGUCAAGACAGCAAGUCUCAAGGCUGGGCACUAAAGAAGCUCUCUGCCUUCCCCUCACCCUGCAGGGGAAUGCUGAGAGGUUAGAGAGAGGAAGGAGAGCUCCAUCCAGGCUUGUCCUGAAAUGACACCUGCCUAACCUCUCCUCCUGUUUUCUCAUAUAUUUGCUUUGUAACAAUGACAAAGCAGAUUUUAUGCUCUGUUCCAGGGAGGUUGUCUGUCUGUCUGUCUGUGUUUGGCCCUUUGGGAAUAUAAAAAUAUGUGAGGGUUCCAGAGGCUGGACUAACUCUGGGGAAGCUGCAAAUAACUCCCUGAACUUUCUGGAACAGAGGAGUACUGCAGCUAAACAAGCAAGCUGAUGCUGUUUCAAGCUGAGUGGAGUUUUCAACACCCAGUUUUCCACAUCCCUGCAACAGGCAGGCAGUUCCUGCACACACCUCUUCUCUCCAAAUGCUGCAGCAGGAGGGAGACUGAACAGUCCCAAGAUCCAGGAACUGCACAGUGACAGCGUUUAGGUGGAUGGCUGGGCAGAUGGCCACACUGUGAUGGUGUGGCUGUGCUGCCUGCACAGCAGUCACCCAGCUGGGACCAUUAUGCCACCGUGCAGACAUCUCAUUAAAGCACCCUCUUCUCUGCUUCUAGGAUGACAUGAUGGAGGACACCCCUCUCUCCCUCUACAGCUACUAGGCAACCAGGCUGUCUACUGCCCAGAGGAAAAGGCCUUGAGGACUUGGUCCCAGACGAUCUGCUGAGGAAUAUGGGGCUGUGAUUUGCACACAACUGAAAGAUCCUUUUCAGAUGGUUUUUGGUUUUAGACGUUUUAAAUAGUUCAGUGUUGAAGUUUCUAUGCUGCGAAUCAGAGCCCAAGUCUGACCCUCUUCUCCAGGCUGUCCUCAAAACAAUGCCUUGAAGAGGUGUCUCCUCCUUUUAAGUGUGGCAACCAAUUAGCCAAAACAAUCUUUGCCAUGGUGUUCUGCACGGAUCUCUUCUGUUGAUCCUGGUGGCUGCUGCCUUCAAAGGAGGUGGACAAGUGUUUCAGACUAGGGCUCUUAACACUGGUGGUGUCAGCACAGUGCCAGCAAAGGAGACUGCUGUUUUCUGAGGAAGCCAAGAAUGUGGAAAUCAGUUAUCUUGGGCUCCCUCUUGUUCUGUAUUUUUAAAGUUGUUUGUUUUGAUGGUUUUCUUGCACUUUUUUUGUUCCUGUUUCAGCUUUGGUCCCAGGAUUGGCAUUACCCAUCCUGAAACACUUACAGGAGGAUAAAAGACUACUGCGUUUUCUUCCUAGAUGCAUACCUUUUCUCUUUAACCAGGGAAAACAGUUUUGUGGCCACUGGAGAAGUGCCCCUGCUUCUUGAUGUUGCUUUGAAGUUGCUGGGAGGAAAUUGAACAUAAUGUUAGCUUAACCGAGCUUGAUAGGACUCAGUCUAUUGCAAAUUAGACACACUAAUUUGGUCUCACCAAAAUUAGGAAGCCGUGUCUCCUACACUUGAUGCUUUUGGCAUAUGUCUAAACUCCUUUCCCAGGCUCAGUAAAUGCUUUAGUCCAUUUCCCUGCCUCGGCUAACACAAGCCUUUCCUCAGGUACCUCCCAUUUUGCUUCUAGCAUCUGGUUGCUGGAAGUUGUUGUACAAAGCUGGUGCUUCGCUCUCCCUCCUGUGCUAUGCAAGGUCAGAGCUCCUCUACUUUUUGAUGUUGGAUUUUUGAGCCAUUUGGUGUCUUGUCAUGAGGACAGAUCCUGGAUGUAGGUGCCUUCCUCCCCUUCCCUUUCUUAGUGUUAUGCUGAUUAGAUUCUGCACUUUUGCCUCAAAAUAUCACUGCUGUAGACUGCAUCCAAAGCUCUUGAGGCCUUUCAAGGAAACCCAUAGACCAGAGCCUCUGAGUGUAAAUCAGAGGAGCUUCUGGUGCCCUUGCCUCAGAAAGACCAGAGUGUUUGUGACAUGACAAUCUUCAUGUAACUACACCUGCUCUCGUUUUCUAGCUCACAUUUGACUGCAGGUAAAUGGAAACACAUGCCUUCUCUAGAGUGUUUGGUUUUUGACUACUCCAGUUGCUCCUUCAGGAUACAGCAAGGGCUAGAGUUUAUCUGCCACAUUGCUCUACAAACCUCAGUUUCUCCUCUUCUUUCAGUAACAAUAUCACUGAACCCCACAAAGGACAGAUACCAGGCCUCACUUGCAAAAGUACCUUUUUUUCCCCAGUUGUAGCAGGGAAAGGGCAAAUUCCCCAUCAGCUGAGCUCAAGUUACCUGGAAAGCCCAAAGGUGAAGCAGAACCAGUCUGAGUCAAUUAGAUGAACUGGGUAAGGCAGCAGUUCCUCCUCCCUGUGCUGCUGCUUCCAGAGUGGCUGACAAAUGGCUGCAGUGCAGUUGAGCUUCAGCUUGGCCUUCCAUCUGUGUACUGAUGCCCAGUAAAAUAGAGAAGACGGUUGGUUCUCUCCUAUGAUUGCAUGAGAACUAAAGAGCAAUUGUCACAACUCCAAAGCUUUUGUAUCAAGCAUUGUCUGCACAGAGCAAUCUCCCUAGCUACAGACUUGUUUCCCCUGCCGGAGGGCAGGGUGCUGCUGGUUUUCGGCACAAAGUUGGCAAGUUAGUGGUGGAAAAUAGAACUCCAUGGAACUGGUACAGGCUGGCAUAUCUGGGAAUGUGUCUGCACACAAUCAAAAGGGCAGAGGCUGGUUGUUCUGGUUUCCCAUGCAUGGCUGUGCAGGGGAAAGGGAUGAGGAAAAACUCACCCAACACCAAAGUGCUACUUUGUUUGUAAAAUAUGUUGAUAGUGGAUUUUUUUUUUCUGCAAUAAAGUUAUAAAUGCCAAAAGUGUCUCA
rnacentral:lncRNA from 1 species